AAGUCGUAACAAGGUAACCGUAGGUGAACCUGCGGUUGGAUCAUUAAAUUGAAAAAGAGAGAGAAGAAAUUCUCUUGAUUUUAAACAUUUAGAGAUAAUUGAAUGUUUUUUUGUGGAGAGAAGAAGAGAUUCUUUUUUUCCACAAAUUUAAAUAAACCAUUUUUAUUAUUAUUAUUAUAAAAUAAAAAAAAACAACUUUUGACAACGGAUCUCUUGGCUCUCGUAACGA
rnacentral:misc_RNA from 1 species